UGCCAGCCGCCGCGGUAAUACGGAGGUGGCAAACGUUGCUCGGAAUCACUGGGCUUAAAGGGCGUGUAGGCGGCCCACUAAGUCGGAUGUGAAAUCCCUCGGCCCAACCGAGGAACUGCAUUCGAAACUGGUGAGCUAGAGUGCGGGAGGGGCAAGUGGAACUCCAGGCGUAGCGGUGAAAUGCGUAGAUAUCUGGAGGAACGCCGGUGGCGAAAGCGACUUGCUGGACCGCAACUGACGCUGAGGCGCGAAAGCUAGGGGAGCGAACAGGAUUAGAUA
rnacentral:rRNA from 1 species